GUAGGGGCCAAGCGUUAUCCGGAUUUAUUGGGGCGUAAAGAGCUCGUAGGCGGCUUGGCAAGUCGGUCGUGAAAGUCCGAGGCUCAACCUCGGGAAUGCCGGGUCGAAACUGCCAUGGCUAGGGUUCGGUAGAGGAGAGUGGAAUUCUCGGUGUAGCGGUGAAAUGCGCAGAUAUCGAGAGGAACACCAGUAGCGAAGGCGGCUCUCUGGGCCGAUACCGACGCUGAGGAGCGAAAGCGUGGGGAGCAAACAGGAUUAGAUACCCUGGUAGUCCACGCCGUAAACGGUGAUCACUAGGUGUGGCGGACUCAUUGACGUCUGCUGUGCCGGCGCUAACGCAUUAAGUGAUCCGCCUGGGGAGUACGGCCGCAAAGGCUA
rnacentral:rRNA from 1 species